rnacentral:lncRNA from 1 species
UUUGGUCCAAUUUUAUUUGAACUUUUUCGUAUUGAUGAUUUUGCCCCUUAUUAUUUUAUUUUUCAUUUUUGUUUUAUUACAACAAUUAAAAAACUAUUAAAAAUAAAACAAAAAUAAAAUCUCUCUCUCUCUCUCUCUCUCUCUCUCCAUUGGAACUGACAUAUGUGCCUAACUUCAUCUACUUCGACCAUCUAAAUCACUACCAUCCACCACUUCCUUCAUUAAUCACCACCUACAGCCACCAUCACCACCUCCCGCCACCACCACCACCACCGGAUGCCACCACUAUAAAAGAAUCAUAAAUCAAAAAUCAUUUUUGUUUCUUGUUUCAAAUUCCUGCAAAAGAAAAGUUGAUUCGAUCUAAAUCAUCAAAUAUUUAGCAAUCAUAACCAAAAUCUGAUUCAAAACUCAAAAGCACCAAUCUAUCUAUGAAUGUUCAUCAAUUUUUAAGUACAUAAAACAUUCAAAAUCAAAUGAAGGAACCAGUUAUUUUGGGGGUCUCCUUAUUUGGGUAAUCUGGUAGCAAAGAAGAAUGAUAAAUUCAGACCCCACCUACAAAUCUAUCUUCAAAUAAAUCAAGACCCACCUGUAUACAGAUUUAGACAACAAUUUCAUGGCCUCAAAUCGAUUCCAAGAGAUGCAAAUAUGUAAAAUGGCCUCACUGUUUCCCCUUCUCCCUCUUCUUUUGAAACCUGCAAAUCGAUCAGAAUAAAAUUCAGGUAGUGACUUAAGACUAUGUAACAAGCUAACUAGCAUAAAGGUGGGAGGAGGUGCUUGGGCUGUAGCUUACCGAUGACAUCAAAACCCUAUCUAUUUAGAUAACAACGACUUCAGAUUAAUUAGGGUUUUCUGUAGGUGACGACGACUUUGAGAUGAGAGGGUGGUGAUGGCGGAGACGACGGGGCUGAAGACGAGAACCCUAAUCGGAGUUGGAUCUGCAACGGUGGCCUAUCCCCUUUUGGUCGUUCGUCGAUAGAUCGAGUUCUAGAUCGUCUCCUCUGAAGACGGAAGCUAGGGCAUAGAGGUGGAGAGUUUGAUGCAUCCGAUCUGUGAAAGGGAGGUCCAACGAGAAGAGACGACGCUCCAUAUCUUCGAAAACCAUGUUUAGGUCUUGUUGCAGGUUUUCUAAGCGGUUAAGAGAGAGAGAGAGAGAGAGAGAGAGAGAGAGAGAGAGAGAGAGAAGUAUUCUAUUUUUGUUUUGUUUUUAAUAGUUUUUUAAUUUUUGUAAUAAAACAAAAAUGAAAAAUAAAAUAAUAAGGGGCAAAAUCAUCAAUACAAAAAAGUUCAAACCAAAUUGGACCAAACUCGCAACAAAACCAAACUAUUGGACCACCCUUGCGAGUCCAAACUUGCUAGUUUUGACAUACCACAUGGACCACUCUUGCAAUUUUGUCAAAUCACAAACUAGAAUUCUUCAAUUAAUCCCUAGAACUAGACAUGGCAUUGGAUCAAAACAUAUGAAAUUACCCCAAUAAAAUAAAAGCGAAGUAAAGCGACAAAGAUAAAUCACAAAUACUACCUUAAAAUCUCAUUAUGCUCACAUUACCACAUACACAUCUUAG